rnacentral:rRNA from 1 species
GAUGAACGCUGGCGGCGUGCCUAAUACGUGCAAGUCGAGCGAACAGACGAGGAGCCUGCUCCUCUGACGUUAGCGGCGGACGGGUGAGUAACAUGUGGAUAACCUACCUAUAAGACUGGGAUAACUUCGGGAAACCGGAGCUAAUACCGGAUAAUAUAUUGAACCGCAUGGUUCAAUAGUGAAAGACGGUUUUGCUGUCACUUAUAGAUGGAUCCGCGCCGCAUUAGCUAGUUGGUAAGGUAACGGCUUACCAAGGCAACGAUGCGUAGCCGACCUGAGAGGGUGAUCGGCCACACUGGAACUGAGACACGGUCCAGACUCCUACGGGAGGCAGCAGUAGGGAAUCUUCCGCAAUGGGCGAAAGCCUGACGGAGCAACGCCGCGUGAGUGAUGAAGGUCUUCGGAUCGUAAAACUCUGUUAUUAGGGAAGAACAAAUGUGUAAGUAACUAUGCACGUCUUGACGGUACCUAAUCAGAAAGCCACGGCUAACUACGUG